UAGGGAAUAUUGGACAAUGGGGGCAACCCUGAUCCAGCCAUGCCGCGUGAGUGAAGAAGGCCCUCGGGUUGUAAAGCUCUUUUGUCCGGAAAGAAAAGCAUUCGGUGAAUACCCGGAUGUUCUGACGGUACCGGAAGAAUAAGCACCGGCUAACUUCGUGCCAGCAGCCGCGGUAAUACGAAGGGUGCAAGCGUUACUCAGAAUUACUGGGCGUAAAGCGUGCGUAGGUGGUUGUUUAAGUCUGAUGUGAAAGCCCUGGGCUCAACCUGGGAAUGGCAUUGGAAACUGGGCAGCGAGAGUGCGGUAGAGGGUAGUGGAAUUCCCGGUGUAGCAGUGAAAUGCGUAGAGAUCGGGAGGAACAUCUGUGGCGAAGGCGACUGCCUGGACCAGCACUGACACUGAGGCACGAAAGCGUGGGGAGCAAACA
rnacentral:rRNA from 1 species